UUCCGGUUGAUCCUGCCGGACCUGACUGCUAUCGGAUUGAUACUAAGCCAUGCGAGUCUUUGUAGUAAUACAAGGCAGACGGCUCAGUAACACGUAGUCAAUCUACCCUAUGGACGGGGAUAACCUCGGGAAACUGAGAAUAAUACCCGACAGAUCAUAAUGCCUGGAAUGGUUUAUGGUUUAAAUGAUUUUUCGCCGUAGGAUGGGACUGCGGUCUAUCAGCUUGUUGGUGAGGUAAUGGCCCACCAAGACUAUUACAGGUACGGGCUCUGAGAGGAGUGGCCCGGAGAUGGGUACUGAAACACGGACCCAGGCCCUAUGGGGCGCAGCAGGCGAGAAAACUUUGCAAUGUGCGAAAGCACGACAAGGUUAAUCCGAGUGGUUUCUGCCAAAGGAACCUUUUGUUAGUCCUAAAAACACUAACGAAUAAGGGGUGGGCAAGUUCUGGUGUCAGCCGCCGCGGUAAAACCAGCACCUCAAGUGGUCAGGAUGAUUAUUGGGCCUAAAGCAUCCGUAGCCGGCUCUGUAAGUUUUCGGUCAAAUCUGUACGCUUAACGUACAGGCUGCCGGGAAUACUGCAGAGCUAGGGAGUGGGAGAGGUAGACGGUACUCGGGAGGAAGUGGUAAAAUGCUUUGAUCUCUCGAUGACCACCUGUGGCGAAGGCGGUCUACCAGAACACGUCCGACGGUGAGGGAUGAAAGCUGGGGGAGCAAACCGGAUUAGAUACCCGGGUAGUCCCAGCUGUAAACUAUGCAAACUCAGUGAUGCAUUGGCUUGUGGCCAAUGCAGUGUUGCAGGGAAGCCGUUAAGUUUGCCGCCUGGGAAGUACGUACGCAAGUAUGAAACUUAAAGGAAUUGGCGGGGGAGCACCACAAGGGGUGAAGCCUGCGGUUCAAUUGGAGUCAACGCCGGA
rnacentral:rRNA from 1 species